GCGGGAAUAGCUCAGUUGGUAGAGCAUCACCUUGCCAAGGUGAGGGUCGCGGGUUCGAGUCUCGUUUCCCGCUCUA
rnacentral:tRNA from 1 species